UACGGAGGGUGCAAGCGUUGCUCGGAAUUAUUGGGCGUAAAGGGCAAGUAGGUGGUCUCAUUUGUCUGGGGUGAAAGCCUUGAGCUUAACUCAAGAAGUGCCUCAGAAACGGUGAGACUCGAGUACUGGAGAGGGUCGUGGAAUACCCGGUGUAGCGGUGAAAUGCGUAGAGAUCGGGUGGAACACCAGAGGCGAAGGCGGCGACCUGGACAGUUACUGACACUCAACUGCGAAAGCGUGGGGAGCAAAC
rnacentral:rRNA from 1 species